GCCAGGUGUAGUGGUGGGCGCCUGUAAUCCCAGCUACUUGGGAGGCUGAGGCAGGAGAAUGGCUUGAACCCAGGAGGCAUAGUGUGCAGUGAGCUGAGAUCUCACCACUGCACUCCAGCCUGGGCGACAGAGUGAGACUCUGUCUCAG
rnacentral:SRP_RNA from 1 species